CACGUAGGGCGCAAGCGUUGUCCGGAAUUAUUGGGCGUAAAGAGCUCGUAGGCGGUCUGUUGCGUCCGCUGUGAAAACUCGGGGCUUAACCCCGAGCCUGCAGUGGAUACGGGCAGACUAGAGGUAGGUAGGGGAGAAUGGAAUUCCCGGUGUAGCGGUGAAAUGCGCAGAUAUCGGGAGGAACACCGGUGGUGAAGGCGGUUCUCUGGGCCUUACCUGACGCUGAGGAGCGAAAGCGUGGGGAGCGAACAGG
rnacentral:rRNA from 1 species